rnacentral:rRNA from 1 species
UACGUAGGGGGCAAGCGUUGUCCGGAUUUAUUGGGCGUAAAGAGCGUGUAGGCGGCCAGACAGGUCCGUUGUGAAAACUCGAGGCUCAACCUCGAGAUGUCGAUGGAAACCGUCUGGCUAGAGUCCGGAAGAGGAGUGUGGAAUUCCUGGUGUAGCGGUGAAAUGCGUAGAUAUCAGGAGGAACACCGGUGGCGAAGGCGGCUCUCUGGACGGUGACUGACGCUGAGACGCGAAAGCGUGGGGAGCAAACAGG